UACGGAGGGUGCAAGCGUUAAUCGGAAUUACUGGGCGUAAAGCGUGCGCAGGCGGUUUGUUAAGUCCGUUGUGAAAUCCCCGAGCUCAACUUGGGAAUUGCAAUGGAUACUGGCAAGCUGGAGUAUGGUAGAGGAAGGUGGAAUUCCCGGUGUAGCAGUGAAAUGCGUAGAGAUCGGGAGGAACACCAGUGGCGAAGGCGGCCUUCUGGACCAAUACUGACGCUCUUGCACGAAAGCGUGGGGAGCAAACAGG
rnacentral:rRNA from 1 species